AUUGAACGCUGGCGGCAGGCCUAACACAUGCAAGUCGAACGAGUGGCGGACGGGUGAGUAAUGUCUGGGAAACUGCCCGAUGGAGGGGGAUAACUACUGGAAACGGUAGCUAAUACCGCAUACCAUCGGAUGUGCCCAAAUGGGAUUAGCUAGUAGGUGGGGUAAUGGCUCACCUAGGCGACGAUCCCUAGCUGGUCUGAGAGGAUGACUAGCCAAACUGGAACUGGGAAACGUGCCAGACUCCUACGGGAGGCAGCAGUGGGGAAUAUUGCACAAUGGGCGCAAGCCUGAUGCAGCCAUGCCGCGUGUAUGAAGAAGGCCUUCGGGUUGUAAAGUACUUUCAGCGAGGAGGCGUUACUCGCAGAAGAAGCACCGGCUAACUCCGUGCCAGCAGCCGCGGUAAUAC
rnacentral:rRNA from 1 species